rnacentral:tRNA from 1 species
GAGGGUAUAGUUCAAUCGGUAGAGUGUGUGCUUAGCAUGCAUGAGGUUCUGGGUUCAAUCCCCAGCACUUCCA